UGGGGAAUUUUGGACAAUGGGCGAAAGCCUGAUCCAGCAAUGCCGCGUGUGUGAAGAAGGCCUUCGGGUUGUAAAGCACUUUUGUCCGGAAAGAAAUCCUUGGCUCUAAUACAGUCGGGGGAUGACGGUACCGGAAGAAUAAGCACCGGCUAACUACGUGCCAGCAGCCGCGGUAAUACGUAGGGUGCAAGCGUUAAUCGGAAUUACUGGGCGUAAAGCGUGCGCAGGCGGUUUGCUAAGACCGAUGUGAAAUCCCCGGGCUCAACCUGGGAACUGCAUUGGUGACUGGCAGGCUAGAGUAUGGCAGAGGGGGGUAGAAUUCCACGUGUAGCAGUGAAAUGCGUAGAGAUGUGGAGGAAUACCGAUGGCGAAGGCAGCCCCCUGGGCCAAAUACUGACGCUCAUGCACGAAAGCGUGGGGAGCAAACAGGAUUAGAUACCCUGGUAGUCCACGCCCUAAACGAUGUCAACUAGUUGUUGGGGAUUCAUUUCCUUAGUAACGUAGCUAACGCGUGAAGUUGACCGCCUGGGGAGUACGGUCGCAAGAUUAAAACUCAAAUGAAUUGACGGGG
rnacentral:rRNA from 1 species